AUUGAACGCUGGCGGCAUGCCUUACACAUGCAAGUCGAACGGCAGCGCGGACUUCGGUCUGGCGGCGAGUGGCGAACGGGUGAGUAAUACAUCGGAACGUACCCUGUUGUGGGGGAUAACUAGUCGAAGAUUAGCUAAUACCGCAUACGACCUGAGGGUGAAAGUGGGGGACCGCAAGGCCUCACGCAGCAGGACCGGCCGAUGUCUGAUUAGCUAGUUGGUGGGGUAAAGGCCCACCAAGGCGACGAUCAGUAGCUAGUCUGAGAGGACGAUCAGCCACACUGGGACUGAGACACGGCCCAGACUCCUACGGGAGGCAGCAGUGGGGAAUUUUGGACAAUGGGGGCAACCCUGAUCCAGCAAUGCCGCGUGUGUGAAGAAGGCCUUCGGGUUGUAAAGCACUUUUGUCCGGAAAGAAAUCGCGCUGGUUAAUACCUGGCGUGGAUGACGGUACCGGAAGAAUAAGCACCGGCUAACUACGUG
rnacentral:rRNA from 1 species